UAUGGCCAUAUCACGUUACAACACCGGUUCCUGUAUGAUCAUUGAAGUUAAGUAACGCCGAGCCUGGUCAGUACUUAGAUGGGUGACCGCUUG